GGGGGGAGCACCGGAUCUUGGGCUGUGUCCCCUGGCGCCCUGGGCUCCAGGGCCUGUGCCACUGGAAUUGCGCUCUCGGGGCGCACAGCCCCCU
rnacentral:pre_miRNA from 1 species